rnacentral:lncRNA from 10 species
CCCAUGCUCCCUCAAGCACCUGAUCUUGUACCCACUUAUUCUAAAGAAGAAAAGGACUUUCUCCAGGCAGAGAACAAGUGAUGGAGGAAGGAUGAAUUCGGUUACCGGAUGGGAGAGAAGCUAUGCCACAGCUGCUAGGAGCUGCAGUUGUACUGGCUGUGCAUGAAACCAUCCAUCGAGGUCAGGAGUCACUUGGAAAGUUGUUAGGCUGGUAUUUCUACAUCUCGCAUUUGUCAGCUCUUGCCAAAACGGUGAGGCAGGGGUGUGUUACCUGCCGACAGCAUGAUGCGAGGCAAGGUCCAGCCGUUCCACCCGGCAUACAAGCUUAUGGAGCAGCCCCCUUUGAAGAUCUCCAGGUGGACUUCACAGAGAUGUCAAAGUGUAGAGUUCACCCUUUCUCCCCAG